rnacentral:rRNA from 1 species
UACGGAGGGUGCAAGCGUUGUCCGGAAUCACUGGGCGUAAAGGGCGCGUAGGCGGCUCAUGAAGGCUGUGGUGAAAGUCCGGGGCUCAACCUCGGAUCGGCCGUGGCGACUCGUGGGCUGGAGCACUGUAGAGGCGGGUGGAAUUCCGGGUGUAGCGGUGAAAUGCGUAGAUAUCGGGAGGAACACCAGUGGCGAAGGCGAUCAUCUGGGGUUGUUCUGACACUGAGGAGCGAAAGCUAGGGGAGCAAACGGG